rnacentral:sRNA from 1 species
GUGGGGCUCCAGGCAGGUCAGGCAUGAGUCUUUGAUGCGAUUCAUGUUUUCUUUUCCCCAGAACUACCUGAAGAAGCAGGUCACACCCCUCUUCAUUCACUUCAGAAAUAAUACCAACAACUGGAGGGAGAUCCCAGAAAACCUGAUGGACCAGUACAAUGAGAUUAAUGCCAUCAGCACCGCCUGCUCCAACGGAGUUCCAGAGUGUGAGGAGAUGGUCUCUGGCCUUUUCAAGCAGUGGAUGGAGAACCCCAAUAAUAACCCGAUCCACCCCAACCUGCGGUCCACCGUCUACUGCAACGCUAUCGCCCAGGGCGGUGAGGAGGAGUGGGACUUCGCCUGGGAGCAGUUCCGAAAUGCCACACUGGUCAAUGAGGCUGACAAGCUCCGGGCGGCCCUGGCCUGCAGCAAAGAGGUGUGGAUCCUGAACAGGUACCUGAGCUACACCCUGAACCCUGACUUAAUCCGGAAGCAGGACGCCACCUCUACCAUCAUCAGCAUUACCAACAACGUCAUUGGGCAAGGUCUGGUCUGGGACUUUAUCCAGAGCAACUGGAAGAAGCUUUUUAACGA